rnacentral:rRNA from 1 species
AGCAGCAGCCACGGUAAUACGGAGGGUGCAAGCGUUACUCGGAAUCACUGGGCGUAAAGGACGCGUAGGCGGAUUAUCAAGUCUCUUGUGAAAUCUAACGGCUUAACCGUUAAACUGCUUGGGAAACUGAUAAUCUAGAGUAAGGGAGAGGCAGAUGGAAUUCUUGGUGUAGGGGUAAAAUCCGUAGAGAUCAAGAAGAAUACCCAUUGCGAAAGCGAUCUGCUGGAACUUAACUGGCGCUAAUGCGUGAAAGCGUGGGGAGCAAACAGGAUUAGAUACCCCCGUAGUCCCUGUCUCUUAUAC